AUUGAACGCUGGCGGCAGGCCUAACACAUGCAAGUCGAACGAGUGGCGGACGGGUGAGUAAUGUCUGGGAAACUGCCUGAUGGAGGGGGAUAACUACUGGAAACGGAAGCUAAUACCGCAUACCAUCAGAUGUGCCCAGAUGGGAUUAGCUUGUUGGUGGGGUAACGGCUCACCAAGGCGACGAGCACUAGCUGGUCUGAGAGGAUGACCAGCAACAAUGGAACUGAGACACGGGCCAGAUUCUGACGGGAGGAAGCAGGGGGGAAUAUUGCACAAUGGGCGCAAGCCUGAUGCAGCCAUGCCGCGUGUAUGAAGAAGGCCUGCGGGUUGUAAAGUACUUUCAGCGGGGAGGCGUUACCCGCAGAAGAAGCGCCGGCUAACUCCGUGCCAGCCGCCGCGGUAAUUC
rnacentral:rRNA from 1 species